CAAUAGCGUAUAUUAAAGUUGUUGCAGUUAAAAAGCUCGUAGUUGGAUUUCUGGGAGGGUGCCAAUGUCCGUCGUCGUACGUGUUGCAGCGGCGCCCUUCCAUCCUUCUGUUAACGACUUUGGCAUUCAUUUGCCGGAGUCGGGCUCAGAUAUUUUAACCUUGAGAAAAUUAGAGUGUUUCAGGCAGGCUAGGCCGGAAUACAUUAGCAUGGAAUAAUGGAAUAGGACUACGGUCUCUUUGUUGGUUUGUAGGGACUGCAGUAAUGAUUAAUAAGGGAUAGUUGGGGGCGAUUAGUACUUAACUGUCAGAGGUGAAAUUCUCCGAUUGUUAAAGACUAACUUAUGCGAAAGCAUUUGCCAAGGAUGUUUUC
rnacentral:rRNA from 1 species